UACGUAGGGUGCGAGCGUUGCCCGGAUUUAUUGGGCAUAAAGGGCGCGCAGGCGGCUACGCACGUCCGUUGUGAAAUCGCUCGGCUCAACUGGGCGGGGUCAGCGGAUACGGCGUAGCUGGAGCAAGCUAGGGGGCAAUGGAAUUCCCGGUGUAGUGGUGGAAUGCGUAGAUAUCGGGAGGAACACCAGUGGCGAAGGCGGUUGCCUGGAGCUUUGCUGACGCUGAGGCGCGAAAGCGUGGGGAGCGAGCCGG
rnacentral:rRNA from 1 species